UACUGCUAGCGCUAAUCCGGGCCUGGAGCUAACUAGCUGUGUGCCGAGCGGUCGGCAAGGCAUUGUCACUCCAGGCUUGAGUUCUUACGCCGUUACGGCGAGGACACUACGGACAGCACGGUUUGUCCUGUUUGUGUGUUGUUUUUCUUCAAUGGGUUUCAGCCCAUUUGUGGUAUCUUGGGUUUGGUGUGGCGGAGGGCAGCGCCCGGCGAUGCGUUGCUCUAUGUUCGGCGGCGCGUUUGGCUGUCGAACUCUGGCCUAGGAGUCAGUGUUUCCUAGUUCUUGGUUCUCCCGGAGCCGAGGAACCGAGCGGCCAACCUGAAAGGGUUUUUUGCAGUGUCUGUGUGCUGCUGCAUGCUGCAUUGGGCUUUGAAGUACCCACCGAGGCCCAUCGAAAAGCGAUAGAAUUGGAGUACUCCGGUCCCCGUGUUGCAGUUUUCAAGUGCUGGCCGGCAUUGUGGAUCACACGUGCUAGAGAAAGAGAGAUAGGAGCUGAUUUGCAGGGGAGCUGUACAGAGACGCACAGCUUCAACGACCAGAUACGCGUAGCUGCAACGAGUUGACCAUGUCAGUUCCUGGGCCCAAUGCAAGAUGGAUAUGCCCGAACGACAGAGAGCUGAUGCUUCGUUCCAGGUUGUCGGAUGGCAGCGGUUGGUGUACCCGUUCCUCCGUGUCCGCGCGCCGUUCUGUAACAUCCACGGAGCCAGUGUCGGCCAAUGAACUGGCUAUCAUUGAAGCCAGGUUGAAGGUUGCACAGGAGUACGAGCAAAUCGAGGCCAAUCGCGUGAUGCUGAUGCUGACAAAGUUGGAUCGUAUCCGCAAGGGUCCGACAGUCCAUGCCAGCCCGUACAUGUGUGAUCUGUGCGGAACAGCCUUCAACCUCAUCACCAAGCUGCAGAUGAAGACCUGUGCUGGCUGCAACAGGCGGGUAUGUCGUUCCUGCGGAUAUGUCGGUGAGGUGCACACGCCGAUGUCGAGCGGCAACAGCAGCAGUGGCCCUUCGCCGUCUUCGUCACCUUUCCCCGACUCUCGGCCAUCGUCGGCGAGUGCGACACCCGGACAGCGGACCACGCCGCCCACCAGCCUGGCGCAGACCAACCGCCAGUCCCUGCAAUCUAAGGAGAGGACAAGUGGUGCUGGUGCUGCAGGGCUGCUGGGGGCAGAGAGACGAUCAGAGAAGAAACAAUGGAUCUGCCUCUACUGCUCUGAGUGCCAAGAGGUUUGGAAGAAGAGCGGAGCGUGGUUUCACGGUGGAAUCAGCACUGAGUUGCUGGCGCAGGCCAGUGAGGCUCUGGCCGAAGUAUCGUCAUACUCCAGAUCACGCAUCAAUGAGACAAGGCCGUCAACCGCCAUCGGGCAAAUUGGUGGUGAGGACCUGGCAAAGUUGAGGGCGAUCGCAGGAGCGAGUGGUAAUUCUAUUCUUUCGGACGAUAGUGAUUCGUCGAAACCGGAGAGCGAAGACACGGAUGAUGAUAUUUUAGUGAAGAGAGCACGUGACUUUGCGCUCAUUAAGCGCGAGGAGACGAGCAGCAAGCCUUUCCCACCGCAGGUUAUCCGUUCACGGUCCGACAAUAUCGACCAAGGGGCACGCGGCGCCGAGACAGGGGACGUUCGCCAGCGGACAAAGGCAUUCUCAUCCGCUCAGGACUCGCCCAAGAUGGGCGGAAGGGGCAGAAAAGUCAAGCUGUCUCAGCGCCGUGCACGUCGUACAGACCAGAAGCCGGAAAGCAGUGAUGGAGCUGGUAGUGAAGGCACCCACGUGCCAUCGCCGGUCGCAUCUCGGAAUUCCAGUCCAGUGACAGAGCGCCGGAAGAAGCAAACAAGAGGACAGGCCGUGUUUAAGCGUCAGGGCAAGCAGUCCGUUAGACCACCAAUGCAUCACGAGUCAAGCAGUGAGCAGGAGGUAGAUGCCACCACCAUGGACAUAGAUGCGCUUGUCAGCGAGGUGAAGACCAAGGAGAGGAUUGCUCGUACCACGUCGAAUCCCGGAGCGAGUGCCAGCAUUGCUUCUGCAGCUUCAAGUCACGUCAAUCUAGGCCGCAUAUUCUUUUCGGUUUCCUAUGAUACGGAAGAGAGCAGGUUGUCCAUUGAUCUACACAGCUGUUCUAACUUGAGGGCUAUGGAUCGCAGCGGGUUCUCUGAUCCGUUUGUCAUUUUGCAGCUAAUGUCCGCUGGGAAAACGAUGCAAGAAAAGCGGACUGGAAUCGUGAAGCGCUCUCUUGACCCGGUGUUCAAUGAGCGCUUCCAAUAUCAUGCCGUCAGUGAGGCUGAGCUUUCGGCGAUGAAACUCAGGCUGCAGGUGUACGAUCAUGAUCGUGUCACUAAGCACGACUUCAUCGGCGAGGCGUCCUUCAGCCUGUCGGUGAUUCACCCGGACACCGUCGACUCGUUCAGACUGGACCUGGAGGCCAAGAACGAAGAGCUUGCUCGCUUGGAACGCCUGCUGCCCGAGUCUGCACCGUACGGGAAGGUUCUGAUCAGCCUGAAUUUCUUGAGCGUUGAAGAGGUGUUGCUGGUGAACAUCGUCCGCGCCGCCGGCCUACCAGCAAUGGAUACGAAUGGACUUGCCGACCCUUACGUCAAAUGCUAUCUUCACCCGGAUCCCAACAAGAAUUCCAAGCAGAAGACGAGGACCAUAUCGAAGACUCUCGAUCCGGAAUUCGAUGAGGAAUUCCGUUACCCGGUCAGACUGAGCGAGAUUCACCACAAAACCCUGGCCAUCACCGUGUGGGAUUAUGAUUGGAAUUCAGCCAACGAUUUCAUUGGCGCAGUCUAUCUCAGCGAGAAGGAGAGUGGUACUUACGUGAAGCACUUCAUGGAUGCCGUAACCGUGCCGAACUGUCUUCAUACCAUGUGGCACACGAUGGUCGCCGAGAGGAGAAAGUUUCCCUGAGCGGCUUGUCGCCAAGGAGACAUCUGGCAGCUGAAUUGAGGCAUUGAGGCAGUCUCUCUGAUAGUGCUACGCACGCUGGACUGAUUGAGGCACUGGUGUCGGUACAUCUCUACUUCUUGUUGGUAUGACUGCACAGCCAUCUGUGGGCAAUGGACGCUAGUGUAGACUUUGGUGGAAACGUUCAGCACAGGUCAUGCUCAUGGCUGCCAUAACAUUAUUAUUUUAUUGUUCUGUUAAUCUGCAGUGGAAGGUACUUCCCCGGCCAGACUUUCAACAGAACGCUUGUCUUCUCUUUGCUCCUUGGCUGUGGGAAUUUAUGGCAACGUUGCAGUUUGAGAAUAGUGCAGUCUGCUGCAGUGUUGGAUAAUGGAAUGUUUUUUCUUCUUCUCAUUUUCUCCUACGUUCCUCCUUAACCACGCCAGGUGCCCGACAUUAGCACUAGCCAAAAUGCUGCCCAUGACGCGUUGAGAGUUUCGUCAUGCGAUUGCGUGUGUGUGUGCAUGUGUGUAUGUGUGCGUCUGUGUGUGCACGUGCACAUGCGCACGUAUGUGUCUGUGUGUGUGUCUGUGUGUGUAUGCACGUGCACACAUGCACUCGUAUGUGUGUGUGUCUGCGUGUGUGUGCGUGUGUGUGCACGUGCGCACAUACACAUGUACGUGCGCAUGUGUGUGUGUGUUAGUGUGUGUGUGUGUGUGUGUGUGUGUGUGUGUGUGUGUACAUGCGUGCGUAUGUGUGUGUGCGUGUGCGUGUGUGAACAGGACUAUUACCAAGCUUUUAAAGUGUCUUUUCUCAAAAUCCCAUUAUGCAGGAGGUCUGCGAUUAUUAGUACGUAGCUGCAGGCGCUCCUCGGCAAAGCUCAGUUUCGACAUUCUUCUAUCCCUUCGAAGCUGUCCUGGUAUUUCCUCUUUGCUUUUCAAUCAGUUUCUAUGCAUUGCCCAGAUUCUGUAUGGUUCUCCCCAUGACCUCGUGUGCACAUCGUCAAUCAUCCUCUUUGUAAUUGUAUGAUUUCAUCAGAAUCUGAUAUCGAAUAUCAUGUAUAUCCUUUCUCAACACAAUUGCAUAGCAAUUGGUAAGCCGUCUUUGCGAAUUAUUCUUUUCCUUUUUUCUACA